rnacentral:rRNA from 1 species
GAUGAACGCUGGCGGCGUGCUUAACACAUGCAAGUCGAACGAUGAAGCCCAGCUUGCUGGGUGGAUUAGUGGCGAACGGGUGAGUAACACGUGAGUAACCUGCCCUUGACUCUGGGAUAAGCCUGGGAAACUGGGUCUAAUACCGGAUAGGAACGUCCACCGCAUGGUGGGUGUUGGAAAGAUUUAUCGGUCAUGGAUGGACUCGCGGCCUAUCAGCUUGUUGGUGAGGUAAUGGCUCACCAAGGCGACGACGGGUAGCCGGCCUGAGAGGGUGACCGGCCACACUGGGACUGAGACACGGCCCAGACUCCUACGGGAGGCAGCAGUGGGGAAUAUUGCACAAUGGGCGAAAGCCUGAUGCAGCGACGCCGCGUGAGGGAUGACGGCCUUCGGGUUGUAAACCUCUUUCAGUAGGGAAGAAGCGAAAGUGACGGUACCUGCAGAAGAAGCACCGGCUAACUACGUGCCAGCAGCCGCGGUAAUACGUAGGGUGCGAGCGUUAUCCGGAAUUAUUGGGCGUAAAGAGCUCGUAGCGGUUUGUCGCGUCUGUCGUGAAAGUCCGGGGCUUAACCCCGGAUCUGCGGUGGGUACGGGCAGACUAGAGUGCAGUAGGGGAGACUGGAAUUCCUGGUGUAGCGGUGGAAUGCGCAGAUAUCAGGAGGAACACCGAUGGCGAAGGCAGGUCUCUGGGCUGUAACUGACGCUGAGGAGCGAAAGCAUGGGAAGCGAACAGGAUUAGAUACCCUGGUAGUCCAUGCCGUAAACGUUGGGCACUAGGUGUGGGGACCAUUCCACGGUUUCCGCGCCGCAGCUAACGCAUUAAGUGCCCCGCCUGGGGAGUACGGCCGCAAGGCUAAAACUCAAAGGAAUUGACGGGGGCCCGCACAAGCGGCGGAGCAUGCGGAUUAAUUCGAUGCAACGCGAAGAACCUUACCAAGGCUUGACAUGUUCUCGAUCGCCGUAGAGAUACGGUUUCCCCUUUGGGGCGGGAUCACAGGUGGUGCAUGGUUGUCGUCAGCUCGUGUCGUGAGAUGUUGGGUUAAGUCCCGCAACGAGCGCAACCCUCGUUCCAUGUUGCCAGCACGUAAUGGUGGGGACUCAUGGGAGACUGCCGGGGUCAACUCGGAGGGAGGUGGGGACGACGUCAAAUCAUCAUGCCCCUUAUGUCUUGGGCUUCACGCAUGCUACAAUGGCCGGUACAAUGGGUUGCGAUACUGUGAGGUGGAGCUAAUCCCAAAAAGCCGGUCUCAGUUCGGAUUGGGGUCUGCAACUCGACCCCAUGAAGUCGGAGUCGCUAGUAAUCGCAGAUCAGCAACGCUGCGGUGAAUACGUUCCCGGGCCU